CUAGAACACUUUCACAUAUCUACUAAAUCCGAGACUAUUCAUUUAAAAACCCAAAUCAGCUUUUACCUGAUGGGUUUACAUUAGCAGUUUUUUUCACCCAUAGAAACAUUACUCAAACACUAAGGUGCAAAACAUGGAUUGAAGCAGCAUAAUCAGGAUAUCAUUUACUUGGUUCCACCAGAAUCUUGGUUAACUCAGAACAUCAUCAAGUUUGUAGUCAUCCCAACAACAAACGGCUCCAUCAACAAUCUCGUCAAGAAGUAAAAGACGACGCCAAGCAUGAUGGAUAUGGGAAGAGCUACCAUAUGCAAAGGUGUAAUAUUGUUUAAAUCUAGGGAAUCUAAGUUGCAUAAGUUCCGAGGGAGUAUCAUAUUCUUGUCUGAUCAACAACUAUUUUCUCAUUCUAUUUCCAAUUCUGCAAUUUGCCUGAUCUAUGUAGUGUAAAAUUUUCUUGAAUGUGAGAACUCCGCUUCAUUUUUAGAAAAUGACCUCUUAACAUAGUUAAUCCGAAGGUCAUCUUAGCAAGAUAGAUUAGGCAAGGUGGCCUACAUUUCCCGUGUGUAGUUUAUGAAUCUAUCACGCUCCGCCAUUAGAAUCCUAUGAUUGACGACUUUGUUGUGGUUGUGUUUAAUGCCAGUUCUUGGACAUGAGUUCUUUACAUGGGGCGCUGCCAGACAUCCAGACCCCACCAAACUUCUUUAAUGAUGUAUCACAACCAUGGCUCGCUGCAGAUCCUGUCUCGUACCUACCUGCUCCAGCAGGCGCACAAGGUGAUAUUACUUACAUGCUAUGAAACUAUACUCCUUUCAGGGUAUAAGAAAAAGUUAUCAUCACAUCAUGUUGCAUAAAUUAUUAGUAAGCGAGUAUCCUCCAUGUUCACUCCCUUGGAAGGAUGAUUGUAAGCGAAUUGCGUCUAUCACAUCAAGUUUGGGUUGAAAAUAUUCCCACGAGUGAGAAAUGAAAACAUUUAUGAUUGUACAGACUAGAUAUAUUUUCAAGUUUCACCCUGUUAGGUUAUCUAAUUCGUUGAGAAACUGAUGCAGGUGGCUUAGCAUACAUGGCAGGGCAAUCAUCGACGCCCCAACUACAGUAAGUUCAGAAUGUGAUAAUGUUAAAUCUUUAGUGAUGUUAUUGUCUGUAAGAACUGUAUGUGUCCUAUGCUUUAUGUGAAGAAUCGAAGAAGGGCUUUGUUCGAUAAUGUGAUGGAUGAUGCUUUCGUUACUUUUUUGGAUGCCUAGUGAGAAUUUUAUAUUUUGUUUUAUGUGGGGCUGCUUAUAAUGCGUUUGUCUUAUUGCUUAAAAUGAAUGUAGGGAUCCAGCAGCACAAGGCCAUGUUGGAGGAAAUCCAUUUGCUUAGGUAGUCCACGAGCUGCUUCAUCUUCUUCUUCACUUGUGCUUCAUCUUCAAUGCGUCUAUUUAUUUUAAUUUUUUUUUUUUAAAGAAGAAACCACUCUCGUCGUGCAUUGUGUUUAUUUUCUUAGUUCAAAACCAACUACAGCUGUAUGUACGUUUUGAGUUUUGAGUGUAUUUCCGAGUGGACUUGAAUGUCAUGAAUAAGUCGACUAAACCAAGAAGCAAUUCGAAAUAAUCUUCUCUUCCAAAAAUUAUACCUCUUUGUCGGUCCAACACUGGCAUCUAGAACACUUUCACAUAUCUACUAAAUCCGAGACUAUUCAUUUAAAAACCCAAAUCAGCUUUUACCUGAUGGGUUUACAUUAGCAGUUUUUUUCACCCAUAGAAACAUUACUCAAACACUAAGGUGCAAAACAUGGAUUGAAGCAGCAUAAUCAGGAUAUCAUUUACUUGGUUCCACCAGAAUCUUGGUUAACUCAGAACAUCAUCAAGUUUGUAGUCAUCCCAACAACAAACGGCUCCAUCAAC
rnacentral:lncRNA from 1 species